rfam:Rhizoctonia solani AG-1 IA unplaced genomic scaffold scaffold91, whole genome shotgun sequence.
GGGCGCGUAGUGGAGUGGUUACCACGUUGGUCUUCGAUUGAAGCGUUCCCGUAGUAAUGCGUUUAUCUAGUCAACCAAAGUUCGUCGGUUCGAUCCCGGCCGUGCUCG